rnacentral:rRNA from 1 species
GACGAACGCUGGCGGCGUGCCUAAUACAUGCAAGUCGAGCGCAGGAAAUCAUCCGAACCCUUCGGGGGGACGUUGAUGGAAUGAGCGGCGGACGGGUGAGUAACACGUAAAGAACCUGCCCUCAGGUCUGGGAUAACCACGAGAAAUCGGGGCUAAUACCGGAUGGGUCAUCGGACCGCAUGGUCAGAGGAUGAAAGGCGCUCCGGCGUCGCCGGGGGAUGGGUUUGCGGUGCAUUAGCGAGUUGGUGGGGUAAUGGCCCAACAAGGCGACGAUGCAUAGCCGACCUGAGAGGGUGAUCGGCCACACUGGGACUGAGACACGGCCCAGACUCCUACGGGAGGCAGCAGUAGGGAAUCUUCCACAAUGGACGAAAGUCUGAUGGAGCAACGCCGCGUGAACGAUGAAGGCCUUCGGGUCGUAAAGUUCUGUUGUAAGGGAAGAACAAGUGCCGCAGGCAAUGGCGGCACCUUGACGGUACCUUGCGAGAAAGCCACGGCUAACUACGUGCCAGCCGCCGCGGUAA